rnacentral:lncRNA from 1 species
GGCAAGGGCAGCAGUGGAGACCUGCAUGAUUGUGAGCAGGUGAUGGAAUGUGGGCUCGAGUGUCAGCAGAGCCAAGAAGGGACUGGCUACUCUUUGCUGCCUGCGUCCUUCUGAUGUCUGAAGCCAUCUCUCCUUCUCUUUAUAGGCAGCCCUGGCGGAUGGGGAAAUGGAAUCUGGGGGUGAGGAGGGAAAUUUUUAAGUGUAGUGAUGCUGUCAUGCUGAGUGUUGCACAACUCAGGGUCCCUGGUGACCACAGGGGCUCAGGAUAUCCAAGAAUAGCAUCUCUGAGCUACUCUCUAACUCUCAGCUCUCAACUCAUGACUGGUUCUAGCUUCAUGGGGUUUCUCCUGUGAGUGUGAAGAGGGGU